rnacentral:rRNA from 1 species
GACGAACGCUGGCGGCGUGCCUAAUACAUGCAAGUCGAACGAGAGCAACUGGUGCUUGCACUGGUCAAUCUAGUGGCGAACGGGUGAGUAACACGUGGGUAACCUGCCCAUCAGAGGGGGAUAACAUCCGGAAACGGAUGCUAAAACCGCAUAGGUCUUCGAACCGCAUGGUUUGAAGAGGAAAAGAGGCGCAAGCUUCUGCUGAUGGAUGGACCCGCGGUGCAUUAGCUAGUUGGUGAGGUAACGGCUCACCAAGGCCGUGAUGCAUAGCCGACCUGAGAGGGUGAUCGGCCACAUUGGGACUGAGACACGGCCCAAACUCCUACGGGAGGCAGCAGUAGGGAAUCUUCCGCAAUGGACGCAAGUCUGACGGAGCAACGCCGCGUGAGUGAAGAAGGUUUUCGGAUCGUAAAACUCUGUUGUUAGAGAAGAACAAGUGCUAGAGUAACUGUUAGCGCCUUGGCGGUAUCUAACCAGAAAGCCACGGCUAACUACGUG